UUCUCGUCGUCGUCUUCAUCAUCUCCUGUUUUCAGAAAUGGAACCGCCCCAGGACCACCACUCAGAAGACCAACACUCUCCCAAAACUCCACCCCAACCUGCAAACGCCCGGGCCCCUUCUUGCUGCAGAAAUUGCGGUGGCCCUACUACCUAUGAUCCGUCACCGCAACAACCAACCGGAUUUCCCGGCAUCUCCCCGCCGCCAAACUACCGUCCUAUCCGAGCCCCCGCCAUCAAUCUUCCGCCUAACCAUAAUACCCAGGCAAUAAUACUCGCUCCUGUUCCCCAGGCCCAGAGGGUUCCCACAGUCUCAGCUCCUUACCAGUUCCAGGCCCCCUCCAAGAGGAUCCACAACCCCGAUGACAUUCGACGGUUCCAGGAGUCUCCUGCCUGCCGUAACUUCCUCGGUUUCAUCGUCUCGCUUUCCGAGUCCAUCCGUGGCCAUAAGAUUUCCGACCCUUGCGAUUGCUCCUCCGCCGUCUCUGCGAUUCUCUACGUCCUUGAAACCCUCCUCCGGUGGAUCGACGAGAUCCCGCCUGCGCAACAAUCCUCUCGAUACGGAAACAUUUCUUAUCGGGCCUGGCACGAACGCCUCGUCGAUCAGAGCGGGUGGCUCAUGCUCGGCUUCCUCCCCGACGAGCUUAAGCCCUCGACGGUGGAGAUUGUUCCUUAUUUCACGGAUAGUUUUGGGAACUCUAGCAGGAUCGAUUACGGCACGGGGCAUGAGACUAAUUUCGCCGCCUGGCUUUACUGUUUGGCCCGGAUGGGGAUCAUCAAGGAGGAGGAUUAUCAGGCUGUCGUUGCUAGGAUUUUUGUCAAGUAUCUGGAACUGAUGAGGAAAUUGCAACUGGUAUACUGCUUGGAACCCGCCGGUUCCCAUGGGGUUUGGGGGCUCGAUGACUAUCAUUUCUUGCCGUUCAUAUUCGGGAGCUCGCAGUUAAUCGAUCACAAGUAUAUGAAGCCAAAAUCUGUUCACAAUCAAGAUAUUUUGGAUAAUUUUUCCAACGAGUACAUGUAUCUUUCCUGCAUUGCAUUCAUUAGGAAGGUGAAGAAGGGAAUGUUCGCAGAGCACUCACCAUUGCUGGAUGAUAUUAGUGGUGUGCCGAAUUGGAACAAGGUUAACAGUGGGUUGCUUAAGAUGUACAAGGUGGAGGUGCUGGAGAAGGUUCCCAUUAUGCAACAUUUUUUGUUUGGCUCGUUCAUCAAGUGGUAAGGAUUUUUGAGUUUUUCUGGGCUUUAGCGUGACAUAGGGAAUGGUGAAUUUAUGUUUUGACGGUUCCUCAAUUUGGAGAGCUGCGAGUCAGGAGACUUGUGCGUGCAAAAUUUUUGUAUCCUUAUGUUUGCCUUACAUUAUCUAAUAUCAUAGUCUCCAGUUAUGUGGGAAAAUCCUUUUUAUGUCAGAGCUAUCAUUAGAACCACGAAGCUUUAUUAAAUUUCAAACAUAGGGAGGAGUAGCUGGUUACGUUAGUUGUACUGAGACCUACAGGGAGGAGCAAGGGAACUUAUUAUGAUUCUUAGAUUUCUUGCACAUAAGAGCAUAAACGGAUGUUUAUUGGGAAGUACCCCCAUCUUGUUUCAUAAAUUGAGUUAUAUGUUCCCUUGUUUGUUCAUGCCAUAUUUAUAUGUCACUACCAGAUUCUUAUUUGGUGAAAUGUUUAGAUCCGAUGGAAGUCGAGCAGUCUUCUAUUGAGUGGGGUGGAAAAUAUAUGUACCCAGAAUUUUGGGUUGCCUUCCUUAUAAAGUCGCAUUAUGAGCUUCCUGUCAUAUUUUCAUUGAACAUAGGCAUGCAGGUUUAUGCACACUUAGGGAUACUGAUUCAAUAAUUUUUGUUGUGUAAUAA